GGACGAACGCUGGCGGCGCGCCUAACACAUGCAAGUCGAACGAGAGAUGAAGAGCUUGCUCUUCAAAUCGAGUGGCGAACGGGUGAGUAACGCGUGAGGAACCUGCCUCAAAGAGGGGGGACAACAGUUGGAAACGACUGCUAAUACCGCAUAAGCCCACGGCUCGGCAUCGAGCAGAGGGAAAAGGAGCAAUCCGCUUUGAGAUGGACCCGCGUCUGAUUAGCUAGUUGGCAGGGCAACGGCCUACCAAGGCGACGAUCAGUAGCCGACCUGAGAGGGUGACCGGCCACAUUGGGACUGAGACACGGCCCAAACUCCUACGGGAGGCAGCAGUGGGGAAUAUUGCACAAUGGGGGAAACCCUGAUGCAGCGACGCCGCGUGAGCGAAGAAGUAUUUCGGUAUGUAAAGCUCUAUCAGCAGGGAAGAAGAAAUGACGGUACCUGACUAAGAAGCACCGGCUAAAUACGUG
rnacentral:rRNA from 1 species